CUGAUGCAUUUACACUUAACUCAUCAAAAUGUUUUACUAGAGCCAUUUGAUGUCCAAGAAACCUUUUGAGUCUUUUUUAUAAGCCUCUUCAAGCCCAUUCUGCUUCGAAACAGGAAGUCGCUUGUUACUCACCAUAAACCAGUGCAACCCCCGUAGGAUUUGGUUUCAUUUAAGACACCGAGAGACCGCAAGGUCCAAGCCUUCCCCUGAACUCGACAGAAAAGAUCUCCCCCUGAACCUGCUGAGAAUACACCGAGCACAGAUGAGGUGCGGUUAUUAUUUUCCAAAACAAAAUCCUUUCUGAGGAGGCAUCUUUCAUGCAGCCCCUGGGAAAGACGGUUACCAAAGCCCAGCGCUAAAUCACCGGCUCGGCCGGCUGCACCUGGAUGUGUGGAACGAAUGGGUAGCUGAAUGAAGUAUUAUGACGCGAACUGAAGACACCAGCAGUUCAGGCAGCCCGUUGAUGAUGGUGUCCUUAUGAGAAGGAGAAACUUGGACAUAGACACACACAGGGAGAACGCGUGUGAAAAAAGAACCAGAGACAAGGUUGAUGCUUCUAUGAGCCAACGAAUGUCAAAGACUGUCAGCAAACCACCACCAGUUAGGUGAGAGGCAAAGAACACAUUCUCCCUGCUGUCCCUCAGAAGGAACCAACCCUGCUGACACUGUGGUCUCAGACUUUCAGCCCCCAGACCUGUCACAUGAUAAAUCUCUAUGGUUUAAGCCCCUGAGGUUGUGGUACUUCAUUGAGACAGCCGGGGAAACCGAUGCAUGUGCCAUUCUAUGUUGUUAGGCCAAGGGAUCCUCCAACUCAGCUUUGCCCAUCAGUGAAUAGGGCCUGAACAGAAGAUUCUAGUGAUUCCAUUAAAAACAAAAUAAUGAGAAGAACAC